ensembl:snoRNA SNORD62 Small nucleolar RNA SNORD62
UCUCUCUGAUGUCUCAAUAGAUCUUGCUUACCCUUUACUGUGUGCCCAGUAGAAUAGAAAGAGAGAGACCUAUGGCUCAGAGG